rnacentral:rRNA from 1 species
GACGAACGCUGGCGGCGUGCUUAACACAUGCAAGUCGAACGGAAAGGCCUGCUUUCCCUUGUGGAUUGCGGGUACUCGAGUGGCGAACGGGUGAGUAACACGUGAGUGAUCUGCCCCCAACUUGGGUAUAAGCCUGGGAAACUGGGUCUAAUUCCCGAUAGGACUGCAGGGUGGUGCCUGUGGUGGAAAACGAUUUUCUAGUGGUUGGGGAUGAGCUCGCGGCCUAUCAGCUUGUUGGUGGGGUAAUGGCCUACCAAGGCGGCGACGGGUGGCCGGCCUGGGAGGGUGGACGGCCACAUUGGGACUGAGAUACGGCCCAGACUCCUACGGGAGGCAGCAGUGGGGAAUAUUGCACAAUGGGCGGAAGCCUGAUGCAGCGACGCCGCGUGGGGGAUGACGGCCUUCGGGUUGUAAACUCCUUUCGACCGCGAGGAAGCCACCUGGUUGGAAGGGUGGUGACGGUAGUGGUAGAAGAAGCACCGGCUAACUACGUG